AGCGAACGUUUGCGGCGGGCCUAACACAUGCAAGUCGAACGAGAUCUCGGGCUUCGGUCCGGGUGAAAGUGGCGCACGGGUGCGUAACACGUGGGUAAUCAACCCUCUGGAUCGGGACAACCCGGGGAAACUCGGGCUAAUACCGGAUACGUCGUCGGAGCUCUAGGGCUCUGACGGGAAAGGCCUGCAAGGGCUACCAGAGGACGAGCUCGCGGCCCAUCAGCUAGUUGGUGAGGUAAUGGCUCACCAAGGCGAAGACGGGUAGCUGGUCUGAGAGGAUGAUCAGCCACACUGGAACUGAGACACGGUCCAGACUCCUACGGGAGGCAGCAGUGGGGAAUAUUGCGCAAUGGGCGAAAGCCUGACGCAGCCACGCCGCGUGUGCGAUGAAGGUCUUCGGAUCGUAAAGCACUGUGGGGGGAGAAGAAUAAAGCCUGUGAAGAGCAGGCCUUGACGGUAUCUCCUUAGCAAGCACCGGCUAACUCCGUG
rnacentral:rRNA from 1 species